AACGAACGCUGGCGGCAGGCCUAACACAUGCAAGUCGAGCGAAGCCUUCGGGCUUAGCGGCGGACGGGUGAGUAACGCGUGGGAACGUGCCCUUUGGUACGGAAUAGCCCCGGGAAACUGGGAAUAAUACCGUAUGUGGUCGAGAGACGAAAGAUUUAUCGCCAAAGGAUCGGCCCGCGUUGGAUUAGGUAGUUGGUGGGGUAAUGGCCUACCAAGCCGACGAUCCAUAGCGGGUUUGAGAGGAUGAUCAGCCACACUGGGACUGAGACACGGCCCAGACUCCUACGGGAGGCAGCAGUGGGGAAUCUUAGACAAUGGGGGAAACCCUGAUCUAGCCAUGCCGCGUGAUCGAUGAAGGCCUUAGGGUUGUAAAGAUCUUUCAGUGGGGAAGAUAAUGACUGUACCCACAGAAGAAGCCCCGGCUAACUCCGUGCCAGCAGCCGCCGUAAAAC
rnacentral:rRNA from 1 species